rnacentral:rRNA from 1 species
AGCGAACGCUGGCGGCAGGCCUAACACAUGCAAGUCGAACGGAUCCUUCGGGAUUAGUGGCGGACGGGGGAGUAACACGCGGGAACGUGCCCUUUGGUUCGGAACAACUGAUGGAAACUUGAGCUAAUACCGGAUGUGCCCUUCGGGGGAAAGAUUUAUCGCCAUUGGAGCGGCCCGCGUUUGAUUAGGUAGUUGGUGAGGUAAAGGCUCACCAAGGCGACGAUCAGUAGCUGGUCUGAGAGGAUGAUCAGCAACAUUGGGACUGCGACACGGCCCAAACACCUACGGGAGGCAGCAGUGGGGAAUCUUGCGCAAUGAGCGAAAGCCUGACGCAGCCAUGCCGCGUGAAUGAUGAAGGUCUUAGGAUUGUAAAAUUCUUUCACCGGGGACGAUAAUGACGGUACCCGGAGAAGAAGCCCCGGCUAACUUCGUGCCAGCAGCCGCCGUAAGAC